rnacentral:rRNA from 1 species
GACGAACGCUGGCGGCGUGCUUAACACAUGCAAGUCGAACGGAAAGGCCCUGCUUUUGUGGGGUGCUCGAUUGGCGAACGGGUGAGUAACACGUGAGUAACCUGCCCUUGACUUUGUGAUAACUUCAGGAAACUGGGGCUAAUACCGGAUAGGAGCUCCUGCUGCAUGUUGGGGGUUGGAAAGUUUCGGCGGUUGGGGCUGGAUUCGCGGCUUAUCAGCUUGUUGGUGGGGUAGUGGCUUACCAAGGCUUUGACGGGUAGCCGGCCUGAGAGGGUGACCGGCCACAUUGGGACUGAGAUACGGCCCAGAAUCCUACGGGAGGCAGCAGUGGGGAAUAUUGCGGAAUGGGCGGAAGCCUGAUGCAGCAACGCCGCGUGCGGGAUGACGGCCUUCGGGUUGUAAACCGAUUUCGCCUGUGACGAAGCGUGAGUGACGGUAAUGGGUAAAGAAGCACCGGCUAACUACGUG